AUGGGGCUGAACGAUCACGACCACUGCACAGCUGCAGCUGGGGGGCUGGGGGUGGGGCAGGGGCCUCCCAGGGAGGGGUUUUUGUACGAGCCUGUGUCACGGUGUGGUGUAUCCGGCACCGGGACCCAGCUGACCGUCCUCGGUCAGCCCGCGGCCGCGCCCACGGUCACUCUGUUCGGGCCCUCUGAGGAAGAGCUCAAAACCAACAAGGCCACCGUGGUGUGUCUCAUCAAUGACUUCUACCCGGGCACCGUGACGGUGGCCUGGAAGGCAGAUGGCGCCACCAUCACCCAGGGCGUGGAGACCACCAAGGCCUCCAAGCAGAGCAACAGCAAGUAUGCGGCCAGCAGCUACCUGAGCCUGACGCCCAGCACCUGGAAAAACUACAACAGUGUCAGCUGCCUGGUCACGCACGAGGGGAAAACCGUGGAGAAGACAGUGUCGCCCUCCGAGUGCCCUUAGGUCCCCGGACCCCCACCCUGGGGGUCUUCCUUCCCCAGACCCCCUCCCCCAGCUCUCCAUGGACCCCUGAGCCCCCACCCAGGUCGGAUCUGACCAGACAGAUCUCCUUCCUCCCUGGUCCUGCUUCUCCUUAAUAAAGACCUUGUCAUUUAUCA